rnacentral:rRNA from 1 species
AUGGUUACCCACCUCCUUUUUGCGGAUGAUAGCAUUGUGUUUCUUGAAGGGUCCGAAAGUAAUCUUCUUGCCCUUAAAACAAUUCUUGGGGACUAUGAGGUGGCAUCGGGACAGAAAGUUAAUUUGCAGAAAUCGUCUAUCUUCUUCGGGAAAGGAAGCACAGAGGACACCAAAGAGCAACUUAAGGCUGUGAUCGGGAUUACUUCUGAAGCUCUAAGUGAGAAAUAUUUGGGGCUGCCCACAACUGUGGGAAAAUCCAAGGAAGGAACGUUUAAAUAUGCCCGGGAGAGUGCAAAGGGUAAGGUCACGGGAUAG